GGAGGAGGAGGAGGAGGAGCUAGAAUUGCAGGAAAAUAGAGAGAAUCGCUUUUGGCCACAAAAAGCAAACCCUAAUAAAUUGUUAACAUUGCUAUUAUAAUAGCUACUAUUAGAGGCAAAGGAUGCGCAGGGCGUUAACCUGCGCCAAUCGCUUCUAUUGCUAUUUAGGGAUAAAGAUAGCGAGAGUGAAGAAAUUUGAGGGGUAAUAAAGGGAGCAGCUGCGGCGGCGGUG
rnacentral:misc_RNA from 1 species